AUUUCUACUGAAUGAAAUGGUAUGCUAAAAAGCUCUUACACAUUUGAAUAUCCAAUUUGUGAACAUUGUCAAUCUGUGGCAUUUCUGGUUCUUAAACUAUUUCUCUUAUAACUUUUAUAAUCCAGCUUAGUGUUAAGUUCUAGACUACUCUCUAUUUUCCAUUUCUCUGAAGUUUCUUACAUCCAAAACAGCCCCUUAAACAAAUUUCCUGGCCAAUUCAGUUUUCUUUCUCAUUAAA
rnacentral:misc_RNA from 1 species